GACGAACGCUGGCGGCGGGCUUAACACAUGCAAGUCGAACGGAAAGGCCCUGCUUUUGUGGGGUUCUCGAGUGGCGAACGGGUGAGUAACACGUGAGUAACCUUCCCUGGACUUUGGGAUAACUUCAGGAAACUGGGGCUAAUACCGGAUAGGAGCUCCUGCUGCAUGGUGGGGGUUGGAAAGUUUCGGCGGUUGGGGAUGGACUCGCGGCUUAUCAGCUUGUUGGUGGGGGAGUUGCUUACCAAGGCUUUGAAGGAUAGCCGGCAUGAGAGGGUGACCGGCCACAUUGGGACUGAGAUACGGACCAGACUCCUACGGGAGGCAGCAGUGGGGAAUAUUGCCCAAUGGGCGGAAGCCUGAUGAAGAAACGCCGCGUGCGGGAUGACGGCCUUCGGGUUGUAAACCGCUUUCGCCUGUGACGAAGCGUGAGUGACGGUAAUGGGUAAAGAAGCACCGGCUAACUACGUG
rnacentral:rRNA from 1 species